rnacentral:rRNA from 1 species
AAAAACAUGUCCUUUAGUUUUAAAUUUAAGGUCUAACCUGCCCAAUGAUUAUUUAUUAAAUGGCCGCAGUAUUUUAACUGUGCUAAGGUAGCAUAAUCAGUUGUCUUUUAAUUGAGGGCUGGAAUGAAAGGUUGGACGAGGAAUUUACUUUCUUUUAAAUAAUUAAUGAAUUUGACUUUUAAGUUAAAAGGCUUAAAUUAUUUUGUGGGACGAGAAGACCCUAUAGAUCUUUAUAUUUUUAUUUAAUUAUGUUUUUUUUGUUUAUUAAAAAUUUAAUUUAUUAAGUAUUUCAUUGGGGUGAUGUAGGAAUUUAUUUAACUUCUUGUUUUUUAAUUUCAUUUAUUUAUGUUUUUUUGAUCCAUUUUAUGAUUAAAAGAUUAAGUUACCUUAGGGAUAACAGCGUAAUUUUUUCGGAGAGUUCAUAUCGAUGAAGGAGUUUGCGACCUCGAUGUUGGAUUAAAAUUAGUUUUGGGCGUAGUAGUUCAUUUUCUAGGUCUGUUCGACCUUUAAUUUUUUACAUGAUCUGAGUUC